rnacentral:tRNA from 1 species
ACCUGGCUGGCUCAGUUGGUGGAGCAUGAAACUCUUGAUCUUGAGGUCAUGAGUUCAAGCCUCACACUGGGUG